rnacentral:misc_RNA from 1 species
ACAAACUUGGUCAUUUAGAGGAAGUAAAAGUCGUAACAAGGUUUCCGUAGGUGAACCUGCGGAAGGAUCAUUAUCGAACAAAAAGCAAAGCGGGCUCAGGCUGUCGCUGGCGUCGACGACAUGUCUGUCGCAUGUGCACGUCUGGCCUGUUUCUUUGUCCAUCUCUUUCUCAUAUCUCUCUCUGUGCACCUCUCAUGCAAGUCUUCGGACGGGGUGGGCCGGAAGUUUUUUUUUCUGUCCUCCUGUCUCUUGCAUGUGACCUUUUCUUUCAAAACACCCUGAUGUACACAGAAUGUGAUCGUUUGUCUGUCGCGCGUGUCGUGGCAUGUCAAACUCUUUACGAACAAUACAACUUUCAGCAACGGAUCUCUUGGCUCUCGCAUCGAUGAAGAACGCAGC